rnacentral:rRNA from 1 species
UACGUAGGGGGCAAGCGUUGUCCGGAAUCACUGGGCGUAAAGCGCGCGCAGGCGGCGAUCUACGUCCGGGGUGAAAGCCCAGAGCUCAACUCUGGGACUGCCUUGGAUACGGGAUCGCUUGAGGAUCGGAGAGGCAAGGGGAAUUCCACGUGUAGCGGUGAAAUGCGUAGAGAUCCGGAGGAACCCCAGAGGCGAGGGCGGCGCCCUGGCUCGCAACUGACGCUCAGACACGACAGCAUGGGGAGCGAACGGG